GCAAAACCUCGUGUCGCUGCUCCUUCCCCUCCACCCGUGCACUUCCCCCCAUCCACCCCACCUCCGGUCGCCGCCUGCGCUCCUGCAAGCCGUCGCCGACCUCCGUUCAGCCGUACCCAACGCCCUCCUCCUCCGUUCUCUCUCCCUCUCCUCGCUGAUCUCUCUCCCUCUCUUUGUUCCCGUGCAGGACGCCAUGGCCAUGGACGAAAGCUCCGCCGGACCUUCCAUCAUGACUGCCAGCCUUCCUCCCGACCAGAUCACCGACGCGGCUGCUGUGAUCCGGGCUGGCCACCGUCCUAUUUUGCGGGUUCGUGGCCACGUUUUCCUACUAGACCACGACCGCCACUUCCUGCUAGAUUAGCGGACAGGGAGAAGAAGGAAGAAGUUGCAGUAAUCAUAAGUGUGGUGAACCAGGCAGGGGACACAGGAUGAUGAGUAUGAAUCAUGAGAUAAACUUCAACUGAAAAAACAGGAUUCUGAG
rnacentral:rRNA from 1 species